GAGAGAUUGUCGUAUUUAUAUGACAUGAUCUUAGCGGCGGACGGGUGAGUAACACGUGGGUAACCUGCCUCAAAGUGGGGGAUAGCCUUUCGAAAGGAAGAUUAAUACCGCAUAAGAUUGUAGCACCUCCUGGUGCAGCAAGAAAAGGAGCAAUCCGCUUUGAGAUGGACCCGCGGCGCAUUAGCUAGUUGGUGAGGUAACGGCUCACCAAGGCGACGAUGCGUAGCCGACCUGAGAGGGUGAUCGGCCACAUUGGAACUGAGAUACGGUCCAGACUCCUACGGGAGGCAGCAGUGGGGAAUAUUGCACAAUGGGCGAAAGCCUGAUGCAGCAACGCCGCGUGAGUGAUGAAGGUUUUCGAAUCGUAAAGCUCUUUGAUCAGGGAUGAUAAUGACAGUACCUGAAAAACAAGCCACGGCUAACUACGUGCCAGCAGCCGCGGUAAUACGUAGGUGGCGAGCGUUGUCCGGAAUUACUGGGCGUAAAGGAUGCGUAGGUGGAUAGUUAAGUGGGAUGUGAAAUCCCCGGGCUCAACCCGGGAACUGCAUACCAAACUGGUUAUCUAGAGUGUAGGAGAGGAAAGUAGAAUUCAUAGUGUAGCGGUGAAAUGCGUAGAUAUUAUGAGGAAUACCAGUGGCGAAGGCGACUUUCUGGACUAUAACUGACACUGAGGCAUGAAAGCGUGGGUAGCAAACAGGAUUAGAUACCCUGGUAGUCCACGCCGUAAACGAUGGGUACUAGGUGUAGGGGGUAUCGACUCCCCCUGUGCCGUCGUUAACACAAUAAGUACCCCGCCUGGGGAGUACGGUCGCAAGACUAAAACUCAAAGGAAUUGACGGGGGCCCGCACAAGCAGCGGAGCAUGUGGUUUAAUUCGAAGCAACGCGAAGAACCUUACCUAGACUUGACAUCUCCUGAAUUACUCUUAAUC
rnacentral:rRNA from 1 species